GCCUACGGGGCGCAGCAGUGGGGAAUAUUGGGCAAUGGGGGAAACCCUGACCCAGCGACGCCGCGUGAGGGAAGAAGGUUUUCGGAUUGUAAACCUCUGUCCUUGGUGACGAUAAUGACGGUAGCCAAGGAGGAAGCCACGGCUAACUACGUGCCAGCAGCCGCGGUAAUACGUAGGUGGCAAGCGUUGUCCGGAUUUACUGGGUGUAAAGGGCGUGUAGCCGGGCUGACAAGUCAGAUGUGAAAUCCGGGGGCUCAACCCCCGAACUGCAUUUGAAACUGUUGGUCUUGAGUAUCGGAGAGGCA
rnacentral:rRNA from 1 species